rnacentral:rRNA from 1 species
GAUCCUGGCUCAGGAUGAACGCUAGCUACAGGCUUAACACAUGCAAGUCGAGGGGCAGCAUUUUAGUUUGCUUGCAAACUAAAGAUGGCGACCGGCGCACGGGUGAGUAACGCGUAUCCAACCUGCCUUACACUCUUGGACAGCCUUCUGAAAGGGAGAUUAAUACAAGAUGUUAUCAUGAGUAAGCAUUUUCGCAUGAUUAAAGGUUUACCGGUGUAAGAUGGGGAUGCGUUCCAUUAGAUAGUAGGCGGGGUAACGGCCCACCUAGUCUUCGAUGGAUAGGGGUUCUGAGAGGAAGGUCCCCCACAUUGGAACUGAGACACGGUCCAAACUCCUACGGGAGGCAGCAGUGAGGAAUAUUGGUCAAUGGGCGAGAGCCUGAACCAGCCAAGUAGCGUGAAGGAUGACUGCCCUAUGGGUUGUAAACUUCUUUUAUAAAGGAAUAAAGUCGGGUAUGUAUACCCGUUUGCAUGUACUUUAUGAAUAAGGAUCGGCUAACUCCGUG